CCUACGGGAGGCAGCAGUGGGGAAUAUUGGACAAUGGGCGCAAGCCUGAUCCAGCCAUGCCGCGUGAGUGAAGAAGGCCUUAGGGUUGUAAAGCUCUUUCACCGGUGAAGAUAAUGACGGUAACCGGAGAAGAAGCCCCGGCUAACUUCGUGCCAGCAGCCGCGGUAAUACGAAGGGGGCUAGCGUUGUUCGGAAUUACUGGGCGUAAAGCGCACGUAGGCGGAUAUUUAAGUCAGGGGUGAAAUCCCGCAGCUCAACUGCGGAACUGCCUUUGAUACUGGGUAUCUUGAGUAUGGAAGAGGUAAGUGGAAUUGCGAGUGUAGAGGUGAAAUUCGUAGAUAUUCGCAGGAACACCAGUGGCGAAGGCGGCUUACUGGUCCAUUACUGACGCUGAGGUGCGAAAGCGUGGGGAGCAAACAGGAUUAGAUACCCCAGUAGUC
rnacentral:rRNA from 1 species